rnacentral:lncRNA from 1 species
UGGCGGUCUGGGAGAAAGACAACAAGUUGCAGAACAUAGAAGAAGUGUUCACGAUCCCAGCAUGUGGGUUAAAACUCAGAAGAACCCAACUGAGUGAACAGAAGAUAAACUUCUUGGACAUAAAUAUUACACUUAACAGAGAGGAAAUGACAAUGGCGAUUUAUAGGAAGCCCCAGUACCAGCCCAUCAUUGUACUGAAUUGGUCCCCUGACCCAGUAUCCAUUAAAAAAUCCGCCUUCAGGGCUUUCUUUAGGAGGGCAUAUUUGUAUUGUACGAACCAGAAGAGCCUACAGGAGGAAAUCGAAUACAUCUUUAACAUAGGCAGACAACAUGGCUACACAAUAGGUUUUGUUAAAUCUAUA